AAGUCGUAACAAGGUAUCCGUAGGUGAACCUGCGGAUGGAUCAUUAAGAAGCAUCCUUUUUACUAUUAUAAAGGUCUUCAACCCUUGUGGUCUAAUAGAUUUGUAUUAGUUGGGUUAAAUUGAUCAACUAAACACAUGCGUGUUUGAUUGAUUUGCCCGACAUCAUCAUACUAAACCAUAUCACUUUUAUACAUUACUGACUGAUGUUGCCUUGCGACUAUUGUGAUUCUUCAUUGAUGAUGAUGAUGAUCAAAAGUAACAAGUAAAACAAUUGUAAUCUUAAUACAACUGCUAGCAACGGAUCACUCGGCUCUCA
rnacentral:misc_RNA from 1 species